GGAUUUUCGAAGAGAAAACUCGUGGUUUUUUGUGUUAAUUGGGGGAUUUGAGAAAAGAAAACGCGUGAUUUUCGGGUUAAAUGUGGGAUUUGAGAAAACGCGUGAUUUUCGCUUAAAUGUUGGAUUCUCGAAGAGAAAACGCGUGAUUUUCGCUUAAAUGGGGGAUUUCUGAAAAGAAAACGCGUGAUUUUCGGGUUAAAUGGAAGAUUCCUGAAGAGAAAAUGCGUGUUUUUUGCUUAAACGGCGGAUUUGUGAAGAGAAAACGCGUGUUUUUCGCUUAAAUGGGGGAUUUGCGAAGAGAAAACGCGUGGUUUUCUGGUUAAAUGGAAGAUUCCUGAAGAGAAGACACGUGAUUUUUGCUUAAAUGGCGGAUUUGUGAAGAGAAAACGCGUGUUUUUCGCUUAAACGGGGGAUUUCUGAAGAGAAAACGCGUGAUUUUCGGGUUAACUGGGAAAUUUUCGAAGAGAAAACACGUGUUUUCCACAUAAAUGGGGGAUUUGCGAAGAGAAAACACGUGAUUUUCAG
ensembl:lncRNA